rnacentral:rRNA from 1 species
CCUACGGGAGGCAGCAGUGAGGAAUAUUGGUCAAUGGACGAGAGUCUGAACCAGCCAAGUAGCGUGAAGGAUGACUGCCCUAUGGGUUGUAAACUUCUUUUAUAUGGGAAUAAAAUGUUCCACGUGUGGGAUUUUGUAUGUACCAUAUGAAUAAGGAUCGGCUAACUCCGUGCCAGCAGCCGCGGUAAUACGGAGGAUCCGAGCGUUAUCCGGAUUUAUUGGGUUUAAAGGGAGCGUAGGUGGUUUGUUAAGUCAGUUGUGAAAGUUUGCGGCUCAACCGGAAAAUUGCAGUUGAAACUGGCAGUCUUGAGUACAGUAGAGGUGGGCGGAAUUCGUGGUGUAGCGGUGAAAUGCUUAGAUAUCACGAAGAACUCCGAUUGCGAAGGCAGUUCACUGGACUGCAACUGACACUGAGGCUCGAAAGUGUGGGUAUCAAACAGGAUUAGAUACCCGAGUAGUC